AUGAACGCUAGCGGCAGGCCUAACACAUGCAAGUCGCGGGAGAAGCCCUUUCGGGGGCAGAAACCGGCGCACGGGUGCGUAACGCGUAUGCAACCUACCUUUCACAGGGGGAUAGCCCGAAGAAAUUUGGAUUAAUACCCCAUAAUAUUGUUGGAUGGCAUCAUUUGGCAAUUAAAACUGCGGUGGUGAAAGAUGGGCAUGCGUCCUAUUAGCUAGUUGGAGUGGUAACGGCACCCCAAGGCUACGAUAGGUAGGGGUCCUGAGAGGGAGAUCCCCCACACUGGUACUGAGACAGGGACCAGACUCCUACGGGAGGCAGCAGUGAGGAAUAUUGGUCAAUGGUCGGAAGACUGAACCAGCCAUGCCGCGUGCAGGAAGAAUGCCUUAUGGGCUGUAAACUGCUUUUAUAUGGGAAGAAUAAGGCGUACGUGUACGUUGAUGACGGUACCAUAUGAAUAAGCAUCGGCUAACUCCGUG
rnacentral:rRNA from 1 species